rnacentral:lncRNA from 1 species
CUGGGUAAUGCCACGGGGCGUUUAUUGAGGUGCUCCCGUGUGGGCCAGGGCCGGGACUGCAGCCCUGCUGCCGCUCUGGAGAGGCUGGUGAGAGUGUGCGGCCCGGGGCGCUGUCCUGCUGGGGAGUGGGGGCCUCCCGAUACGCGGCGAUCUCCGCGUCCAGCGCCAUCCGCAGCCGCAGCAGCGCGGGGUAUUCCCGCAGGCACCGCGCCAUCUCCUGCUCCGCUUCGCCGAUCUGCCGCUCCAGCUCCGCCACCCGCUCCUGGUACUUGGCGAGCUCCCCGCUGCGCCGGUCGCGGAGCCCCUCCAGCUGCCGAUGCAGCGCUCCCACGGCCCCGCGCAGCGCCUCCACCUCCGCGGCGCGGGCGCGGAGCAGCCGCCGGUACCCCGCAGCCUCCGCGCGGGCGCGGAGCACGGCCUCGCCGCUCCGGGAGCGGGGAGAGCAGCGGGGCCCGGACCAGCCCAGCGCGCAGCCCCCCGGGCCGUCCUCCCCCCCGCCGGGGCCGCCCGCGCUCAUCCCGGCGGCUCUGCGGCGGCG